GGAUGCGAUCAUACCAGCACUAAAGCACCGGAUCCCAUCAGAACUCCGAAGUUGAGCGUGCUUGGGCGAGAGUAGUACUAGGAUGGGUGACCUCCUGGGAAGUCCUCGUGUUGCAUUCC
rnacentral:rRNA from 3 species